AACGAACGCUGGCGGCAUGCCUAACACAUGCAAGUCGAACGAGACCUCCGGGUUUUGUGGCGCACGGGUGCGUAACGAGUGGGAACUUGCACUUAGGUUCGGAAUAACUCCCUGAAAGGGGUCUUAAUACCGGAUAAUGUCUUCGGACCAAAGAUUUAUUGCUUUUGGAUGGGCCCGCGUUGGAUUCGCUAGUUGGUAGGGUAAUAGCUUAUCAAGGGCUUGAUCCAUAGCUGGUCUGGGAGGAGGAUUAGCAAGACUUGGACUAAGACACGGCCCAGACUCCUACGCAAGGCAGCAGCGGAUAAUAUUGGACAAUGGGCGAAGGCCUGAUCCAGCAGUGCCGCGUGAGUGAUGAAGGCCGUAGGGAUGUAAAGCUCUUUUACCCGAGAUGAUAAUGACGGUACCGGGAGAAUAAGCACCGGCUAACUCCGUG
rnacentral:rRNA from 1 species